rnacentral:misc_RNA from 1 species
AAGUCGUAACAAGGUUUCCGUAGGUGAACCUGCGGAAGGAUCAUUAACAAAUCGUGUGUAAGCGACAGUCAUGGUUAUGCUGCUGCUUAUAUAUAUACAUAUUUACCCGUACUAGCCGGACGAGCUAGAUUACAGGUUCUUUGGUGGUCUCUCUGGUGUACUGCCAAGAUAUAUUAACGCUUGAUUGUUUGACAGAGUGAGUAACAUGCCAUAUUAAUAAGAUACAACAACUUUUAACAAUGGAUCUCUUGGCUCUU